rnacentral:lncRNA from 1 species
UACCAAUUCAAGGUUACUUUCUAAAUCGAAAUACUCCAUUUCUUGUAUCAAGUUCAUAACUCCAAAAGAACCACCAACGCAUACAACUGCUCAUAUUCCUCUUUAUGUGCAUACAACUUGUGUAUAAACUCGUUUUAACAUUGAUGUUCGAAAGGCUGAAUUUGCAAGUGAGGUGUUUAUAUGCAGUGUGAUUAAUUGAAGAACAAUUAAAGAUCUUGACUUUUUACAUGGACAUAUAGAGAUAAUUACUUCCUGACUAUGUAUGAAUUUUGCUCAAAUCAUCUAUGCUAUGACUGAAUUUGAGGCUUGAACCCCUGCUGUGUGUGUGAGUCGAGGUCAGGGGACGGCAGCCGCGGUGGCUGCCGGCGGUCAACGGACGGCGACGGAGCCGAGGUGGUCUCCGUUCUGCCAAGAGAGAAAGAGAGAGGGGAUUUCAGAUUUAAUUUAAAAAAAAAGGGGAAAAGAUGAGGAAAAAGAAAAAGAAAAUGAGAAUAGGGAGAUCCGGGGGCUUACCUUUGUGAGACGGUGCUCGGCUCCUCACAGCGAAUCCGACGACGAACGGCGGCGAUGGAGGACGAAGAGACGGCGGCCUGGCUUGGACUCCGGCAGAGAGGGCGCAUGCCCUGUUCCGAUCUAGAGAUCUAGAAACCGAGAGAGAGAAUCAGGGCGGGCAGGCGGCGGCCGUGCUCUUCCACGGCCAGGCGAUGGCCGUGAACACCCAAGGCGGUGGCGUGCGGCUGACUUCCAGCGGCCGAGAGAGCGAGAGAGAUAGAGGAGAAGAGAGGGGGAGAGUUCAGAGAGGGAGAAGAGGACGCCGGAGCCUCCGUCCGGCGAGCUUCCCGGCGAGGCGCGGCGGAGAGAAGUCAGAAGUCCGAGAGAGGGAUGAGAGGCGCAGGGUUUGUGUUGUGAGUGUGACCGAGAGAGAGAGUAGGGAAGAAAAG